rnacentral:sRNA from 1 species
UUAAAUCCUUCGUCUUUAUCAGAUUUUAGUCUCAUAUAUUAUUUUCAAGUUAUCCUAAGAGUUAAAAACUCUCUUUAUUUAAAAAUUCAGGAUUAUAUUAUGUCUAAUGUCGUAAAAGGUACAGUGAAGUGGUUCAACGAGACUAAAGGUUUUGGCUUUAUUCAACAAGAAUCAGGUCCAGAUGUAUUUGCUCACUAUAGCGAAAUCACUAACCAGGGUUUCAAAACUUUAUAUGAAGGCCAGCAAGUGCAAUUUACUGUAGUUGACGGUAAAAAAGGCCCUCAAGCAAGCAACAUUACUUUAGUGUAAUAGCUCGUCUGCCUUGAAUAAUAAAAACCCAUCUUUUGAUGGGUUUUUU